rnacentral:rRNA from 1 species
GACUCUUAGCAAUGGAUAUCUUAGCUCUUGCAUUGAUAAAUAAUAUAGCAAAAUGUGAUACUUGCUGCGAAUUAUAGAAUCUCACGAACCAUUUAGUCUUUAAAUGCAAGUUGCGUCCGCAGCUAUUAGGUCGAGGCCAUGCCUGCCUAGGUGUCA